GGACAAAACCCGUGCGGCAUACUUUUCGCCUAAUGAGCAACAGCUUCUUAUGGAAACGUAUGAAGAAGUGAAACAUAUUUUAUGUAAAAAAGGCAAUACAGCUGCUGUAAUAAAGCAAAGAGAGAAUGCCUGGCAAACAAUAGCGGGCCGAUUGAAUGCAACAAACAUGUCUGGCCAAAAAAGGACUUGGCAGCAAGUCAAGAUUAAAUACAAGAAUAUUUUGCAGGCUGGUAAGUGACUUGUUUGUGGAGAACAUAGGUGACAUGUUUGAUGUCAUUUUAUUGUCUGUGCUGAUUUUAGCAAUAAAAAAAAAAAAUCAUAUAUCUGGUACGGGGGGUGGCCCUCCAACCCAAGACUUCACCACAGCAGAGGAGCUGGCCCUGGACUUAAAUAAAGGGAAGCCAGUGAUUGAAGGGAUCCAGGGAGGGAUAGCCACUGACUCUGGCCCAGCAAGGGAUACUGGCCUCCUCAUACAAGUGGCUGGUAACACCCUUACACUUUUGGAGCCACCAGACUAUAAUUCAUCGAGGGAAGCCACAUCUACAGCAGCGGAGUGCACUUCUGCCGAUGAUGAGACCGUGUCGCUGGACUCCAGAAGGCACGAGGAUCCUGACAUUGGGCAGCCUGAUAAGCAGCCUGGUAACAUAGUGAGUAUUGCCUACAGUAAAUUUAAAUUAUGCAAAAAUUCUGCAAUGCUAACUAAAAGGUGAUCACAGAGUUCACAAACUGUCAGAUAUCUCUACACAACGCAUCUUAAGAGACAGAUCGAGCUGACAGAAGUCAAGAUUGAUGUGAACAAAAGAAAGUUGCAGGACAUGGACCUUGAGAUGCAAAUUAAACGAAAGAC
ensembl:lncRNA